UCUUCUCUGUGUCCUUCCUCAAACAAAAUAAAACAAAACAAAACAAACCCUCAAAAACAAAAUCCUUGAAGGGAGACAAGUCUGCCAGGGAAGCAAGUGGCAGCUGUGCUGCAGAGCAACUCUCGGCUGGCCCCACCCCCAGCCGCCCAGUCGCCAGCACCAGCGCCAACGUCAACGUCCACAGGGCAGCGAGAGGGUCAUGGGACGAAGGAGGGAACACAACUCAGAAACUUGUUCAUACAAAGAGUCAGGAGACUGAGCGCGAUCUUGCCCCCACGUGCCUGUGUGACACUAGACAACCAAUAUUUGGCACUGAGACAGAUGAUGGUAACGAUGCUCACUAAGGAAGGACAGAUAAAAAGAAGCUGCCGGGACAAGUAUAUCUGAGCAAAUCUCCUAAGAUGUGGUU